ACAUGUGGUUAAUUCGAUGAUACGCGAGGAACCUUACCUGGGCUUAAAUGGGAGUGACAGCUGUCGAAAGAUGGUUUCUUCGGACACUCUUCAAGGUGCUGCAUGGUUGUCGUCAGCUCGUGCCGUGAGGUGUCCGGGUUAAGUCCCAUAACGAGCGCAACCCUUACCGUUAGUUACCAUCAGGUUAAGCUGGGGACUCUAGCGGGACUGCCACCGUAAGGUGAGAGGAAGGUGGGGAUGACGUCAAAUCAGCACGGCCCUUAUGUCCAGGGCUACACACGUGUUACAAUGGCCAGUACAAAGGGCAGCUACCGGGUGACCGGAUGCUAAUCUCUAAAGCUGGUCUCAGUUCGGAUCGAAGUCUGCAACCCGACUUCGUGAAGCUGGAUUCGCUAGUAAUCGCGCAUCAGCCAUGGCGCGGUGAAUACGUUCCCGGGCCUU
rnacentral:rRNA from 1 species